rnacentral:tRNA from 1 species
GCGGAAGUAGUUCAGUGGUAGAAUACAACCUUGCCAAGGUUGGGGUCGCAGGUUCGAAUCCCGUCUUCCGCU